UACAGGGGGGGCAAGCGUUGUUCGGAAUUACUGGGCGUAAAGGGCUCGUAGGCGGCCAACUAAGUCACACGUGAAAUCCCCAGGCUUAACCUGGGAACUGCGUGUGAUACUGGAUGGCUUGAAUCCGGGAGAGGGAUGCAGAAUUCCAGGUGUAGCGGUGAAAUGCGUAGAUAUCUGGAGGAAUACCGGUGGCGAAGGCGGCAUCCUGGACCGGCAUUGACGCUGAUGAGCGAAAGCGUGGGGAGCGAACAGG
rnacentral:rRNA from 1 species